rnacentral:rRNA from 1 species
ACAUGUACGGAAUCCUUUAGAGAUAGAGGAGUGCUCGAAAGAGAGCCGUAACACAGGUGCUGCAUGGCUGUCGUCAGCUCGUGUCGUGAGAUGUUGGGUUAAGUCCCGCAACGAGCGCAACCCUUGCCAUUAGUUGCUACGAAAGGGCACUCUAAUGGGACUGCCGGUGACAAACCGGAGGAAGGUGGGGAUGACGUCAAGUCCUCAUGGCCCUUAUAGGUGGGGCUACACACGUCAUACAAUGGCUGGUACAGAGGGUUGCCAACCCGCGAGGGGGAGCCAAUCCCAUAAAGCCAGUCGUAGUCCGGAUCGCAGUCUGCAACUCGACUGCGUGAAGUCGGAAUCGCUAGUAAUCGCGGAUCAGAAUGUCGCGGUGAAUACGUUCCCGGGUCUU